GUCAGUCGUAAGGGCAAACCCUCUCUCUCCCCCCAAAUCGAUGGAGUCUGACGGCGAGGAGGAGGCGGCGGCGGCGACGCCGGGGACCGCCGGGGCGGCGCCGGCGGCGGGCCGGCUGAAGGGCUGCCCGGAGCUGUCGGUGGAGGGCGACAUGCGGGAGAUGGCGAAGACGGCGGCCUGGAGCGUCAGCUCCUGCAAGCCCGGCAACGGCGUCGCCUCCCUCCGCGACGACAGCCUCGACACCUACUGGCAGUCGGACGGCGCGCAGCCGCACCUGGUCAACAUCCAGUUCCAGAAGAAGGUGCAGCUGCAGCUUGUUGUGCUCUACGUGGAUUUCAAGCUGGACGAGAGCUACACGCCCAGCAAGAUCUCCAUCCGGGCCGGCGACGGCUUCCACAAUCUCAAGGAAAUUAAAACGGUGGACCUCUUGAAGCCAGUAGGAUGGGUUCAUAUAUCAUUAUCUGGCACUGACCCCAGAGAAACAUUCAUUCAUACAUUUAUGCUCCAAAUCGCGGUGUUGGCGAAUCACCUGAACGGGAGGGACACCCAUGUCCGGCAGAUCAAGAUAUAUGGGCCACGACCGAACCCCGUUCCCCACCAGCCUUUCCACUUCACCUCUAGGGAAUGCAUCAUGUACUCCACCAUCAGGUGAUGGUUCAUGUCCUUCAUACCGGAGCCAAGGUGUGGACCUUGAUCGUGGCCUGCGCGCUUCAGUCUUCCGUGACGAACGCCGGCGUAGUCUCUGAAGUAUCCAGCGUGUGUGAACAUGUAUGUCGAUUAAGUUGCUGCUGGAGCAUUAGGCUGUCUCUGUGAACAUCUAACAUGUAGUACUAAUUCAUGUUGUAUUCCAUUCCAUCCAUGUAUUCUAGGUACAUCUUUUUCCUCCAUUUAAUGUAACAUUUCACUAUUUCUGGAAUGGAUUGGAAGUUUCUCCUGGUACAGCUACAGUGGAAGCCUUCCAUUUUUAUUGCCAUUUUGCC
rnacentral:rRNA from 1 species